GAUCAUGGCUCAGGAUGAACGCUAGCUACAGGCUUAACACAUGCAAGUCGAGGGACAGCAUGGUCUUAGCUUGCUAAGGCCGAUGGCGACCGGCGCACGGGUGAGUAACACGUAUCCAACCUGCCGUUUACUCUUGGACAGCCUUCUGAAAGGAAGAUUAAUACAAGAUGGCAUCAUGAGUCCGCAUGUUCACAUGAUUAAAGGUAUUCCGGUAGACGAUGGGG
rnacentral:rRNA from 1 species